rnacentral:lncRNA from 1 species
AAGAAGGCAGUGGUAAGAGAAACUCAAUAAGAGAAUAAAUGGGUAUCAUGGAGAUCUGGUUGGAUGAGACUCACCAUUAGAAUUUGGCUUCAGAUUGGAUUCAAAAUGAAUGGAAUAAAUGCAGAGAUAAAUGUUUAGGUCUUACAAGUAGUUUAGAGAUCAUUGAUUCUAACAUUCACUUUGAAUAUACAGAAAUUAAGAGAAGAGGAUUUAAGCGGCUUGCACAAGAUCAUACAGGCAGUAAAGGUCUCCUAGACUUGGCAGUGUCACUUACUGCUCUGCCUCCUGCUGCAGGACUAUCAGCUAAUGUCUGAUUUAUAUUUGGAACCAACUGUCUCUGCAAAGUUGAGGAGCCAUCAAAGUUCAGUGGGAAGACCAAAGUCGGAGACUGAAAGAUAGAGCAGGAUACAGUGGAUGACCUUGACUUCCUCAACAUCUGUCCAAGCUCUAUGCAUUCCAUAUUACCCAAUCUUGCUGCUUUUGUGGCCAUUAGAACAAAUGAUUAUCACUGGCUCCUUCUGCUGGGAAACUGAUGCUUCAACCAAGGGAGAGGAUCAAUGAAGAAGUCAAAAGAAAAAAAGCUAUUGCAAGGCAUUUCAUCAAAUCUCUUUGUAGAAUGUAAGUAGGAA